rnacentral:rRNA from 1 species
GGCUUAACACAUGCAAGUCGAACGCCCCGCAAGGGGAGUGGCAGACGGGUGAGUAACACGUGGGAACAUGCCCAAAGGUACGGAAUAUUCUCGGGAAACUGGGAGCAAUACCGUAUGUGCCCGAAAGGGGAAAGAUUUAUCGCCUUUGGAUUGGCCCGCGUUGGAUUAGCUAGUUGGUGGGGUAAAAGCCUACCAAGGCGACGAUCCAUAGCUGGUCUGAGAGGACGACCAGCCACACUGGGACUGAGACACGGCCCAGACUCCUACGGGAGGCAGCAGUGGGGAAUCUUGGACAAUGGGCGCAAGCCUGAUCCAGCCAUGCCGCGUGAGUGAUGAAGGCCCUAGGGUUGUAAAACUCUUUCGUGGGGGACGAUAAUGACGGUACCCCAAGAAGAAGCUCCGGCAAUUCGUC